rnacentral:lncRNA from 1 species
CUCUCAACACAGGACACAAAGAGGGGGCGGGCUGCCGGCAUCACCCGCAAAACCCAGCUGUCCUUCCAGGCCAGAGAGGUCGGCAAAGUCCCAGCGGAUCAGGCGUUACCAUUUGCCCCUGUGACGGACGAGCCACCAGCUUUCGCCCCCCCUUCCACCCCUGCCCCCCCAAAGGGGGCAUAUUUGCAGAGCUGGGACACCCAGGCUCGUUUCUACAAAGGCAGGGAUCCUCCAAGCCAGACGCGCCGCAGCGCCCCGGCCUCCGACCCCCGCCGUGGCUCACCGGUCCUGGGGACCAGCGCGGGGACCGGGGUUGGGGAGCUGACUCGGGUGGCUGGCCUCGGGUCCCGUUUUCGGACUGUCCGGUUUGACUCGUGGGGGUUGGGGGUGGCAACACUCCCGGGGGUACGCAGAAACCCCUUCUCGGAGGAGCCAACGUUGCAGCCGCCGAGGUUGCGGCUGGAGAAGCGGGAGCGCCGGGACCGGGACUGGGACUCGGGGGCCGGGAGCCCGGAGCCGGGCGGCGGCGGCUGGUCGCCCCCUCCAGGCGGCGGCGGGCACGGCCGGCCCCGGACCCCGGCGGCGGGGCGCUCCCCCAACCCCGUGUGCCCCCACCCCGGGCGGAGCGCGCCCCGGACAGGGGCCCGGGCACCAGGCUCCGCCCGCCUCCACCUGCGGAUCUGGGACGCCGCGCCGAGGCGGCUGCCGGGGCCCCCUUCCCGUUCCCCGGGGUCCCGGCGAGCGGUCCCAUCCCUGGAAAAGGACCCCGGUGUCACGCAGCGCGGGCGCUUACCCGGAGAGGGGCGGCUCCCGGCGCGGGGCGCGCGCGGGGCUGCAGGGAAGCGGCGGCUGCGCUGCGCCGGCUCCGGGCCCGCCGAGCGCCCUGCAGCGCCGCCGGCUCCGACUUCCUCUUCCUCGGCUCGGCCCCGCCGCUCGGCCCCGCUCCCCGGCUCGGCCGCGCCCGGGCCGCCCCUCCCUGCGCCGCGCUGCGGGCUCCGCCGGCGCGAGCAGCGGAUCUCCCGGCCCGCCUCCCCUCUGCCCCGCGGCGAGAAAGACACAUCACUUUUCUUCAUUUUCCGGGAUCCUCAGGUUUAG